UCCGUAGGCGGGUCAUUAAGUCAGAGGUGAAAUCCCACAGCUUAACUGUGGAACUGCCUUAGAUACUGGUGAUCUUGAGUUUUAGUGAAGUAGAUAGAAUGUGUAGUGUAGCGGUGAAAUGCAUAGAUAUUACACAGAAUACCGAUUGCGAAGGCAGUCUACUAACUAACAACUGACGCUAAUGGACGAAAGCGUGGGGAGCGAACAGGAUUAGAUACCCUGGUAGUCC
rnacentral:rRNA from 1 species